GCGGACGUGGUGGAAUUGGUAGACACGCUGGAUUUAGGUUCCAGUGCCGCAAGGUGUGAGAGUUCGAGUCUCUCCGUCCGCACCA
rnacentral:tRNA from 17 species